UAGGAAGAAGAGCUGGCACCCCACUCGUGU
rnacentral:piRNA from 1 species